rnacentral:misc_RNA from 1 species
AAGUCGUAACAAGGUUUCCGUAGGUGAACCUGCGGAAGGAUCAUUAACAAAUUCAUCCAAUCGACCCUUUGUGAACAGGCGAGCGACUGCUUGUGGCUUCGGCUGCUUGCGGCAACUCGUGCGAUGGCAGCGAACUGGUGCAUUCUGCACCAAAGUAGCCGUCUCGCAACAAUCAACGCUGUUGUGUUUGACUAAGUAAAGCAAAUAACCAAGAACAACUUUUAACAAUGGAUCUCUUGGCUCUU